GUUAAAAGGAUUUUAGUGGAUGUCAGUGUUAGUGGAUGUUAUGCAGUAUGUAUAUGGGGAAAAACUAGUGUUUGUGUGUGUUUAUGCCAUACUGUAUAAUAUACAUGUAUCACAUGGCAUAUUGAAAAUUGUAAAACGUUUUCAUUGGGAAGUAUUCUUUGAAGUAAUCUUUCUUACAUUAAAUUGAGAUAGUUGAGCAAUGUUUAUGGAGUAUUAUGGAGUAAAAUUACACUCUUGGGCUUUAGCAUUUGUUGUCUUAAAUACAUUUAGUGCCAAUGUGUGAUGUCCCACUGCUUCUCAGGCAGACUUUGGCAGCUGAACAAAGUUAACUGUACUUGUUAAGACACAUUGAACUGUUAUGAAUUCUGUCAGAUAACCUAACUGGCAAGGUCUGCAUCAUUGAGAUUUGCUGAGGUUUUAACUACAGCAUAGAAUCAGUGUGAACAAUAUGAAUCCAGCAUACUUUGGCAAUGGCACUAAACUUACAGUUCUAGAUCCUGGUAUGGUUAUCUCUGAACCACAAAGUAUAUCAGUUACUACACUCUCUGAAAAAGAGAAAUGUAAGAAGCACAUCACUCUUGUAUGUGUGGUCAUGAACUUCUACCCAGAUCAUCUGAAAAUAAAUUGGGAAAUUGGAAACAAAGCAGUAACCGCCGGUGUGGCAACGGACAAUGAAGCUACCAAAAAUGCAGAUGGAAAGUAUGACAUGUCCAGCAGACUCAAAGUCCCAAAAGAGAAAUGGAACAAAGCAGAAAACAAAUUUACCUGCACGUAUUCUUUCUAUAAUGGAAAGACAUAUUCGACAGGUUCAGCCAGCAUUCAUGGAAUUAGAGGUAGUGACGGAUAUGACCGAGAAACCCACAUAAAAUCAGCACAGAUGAUAAAGCUGGGAUAUGGUGUGUUUAUUGCUAAGAGUGGACUCUACGGCCUUAUCAUCUUGGUAUUUGUAUUAAAACAGGGUUCAGCUGGCAAGUGAAUACACUGAAACUCAUUAAAUCACGGAUUGAAGAAGUUGCCAAGAGAACCACCAUCCAGUUACACUUGGAAAGGAAAUCUUCAACAUGCUGUAGCUCUGUUUCUCUCUCUCUCUCUCUCUCUCUCUCUCUCUCUCUCUCUCUCUCUCUCUCUCUCUCUCUCUUUCUUUUUCUGUUUGUGUGUUUUGAGGAUUUACCUUAAUGGAAAUGUGCUAAAUAUUACAUAGCAAAUUCAUUGUAAAAUCUUUUUUAUAAUUGUAUUAUUUUUUUCUUAUAUUUUGCUCCAUUCUGUUUAGUAUUAACUCACAUCAUAUUACCGUAACAGUCUAGUAGACUUGCUUACAGAGUUGUUAUGCAGAAAAAGUUUUCAUUUUAAAAUGUACUACAACCUUUUAUUUCUAAUUUUCACAUUUAAAUAAAUAAAAUACAUAGCAUAAAAGAAAAUCCACAAAGG